AGAAAUCUUACAGGCAAAGGCUAUUCGACAUUUGGGAUUCCUAAGCUAAUCUUUUUAUUUUUGGAAGGGUGUCUUUCUGAGAAAGGCAGCCAGAGGCACAGCACCAACCUUUCUGACAGUGUGGUCUUCACACUGUUAGUUCUGACAAAGGGAGUCAAGGAGUCGUCCUUGGAGGAGGCGAUGAGGCCAGUGGAAGAAUUGUGGCUGGGGACCCCUCCACUGCUGAGGGAGAUGUCGAUGGACUCACAGCUGGUGUGGAGGCUGCUGACAGACUGAAAGCCCAGGCCAUCCUUGCUAACUGCGGAGGAGCUGCUGGCGUUGGUGCCCCAGGGCCAAGACAGCCCCGGCCUCUUACCAGUUCCUGGGGUCUUCAGUGCGCCUGCCGGGGCUGAAGGCUUCGUCCUUGGCAUGGUGAUGCCCACCUGAGCUGUCAUGCCUCGCCGCCAUGAGCCUGUCUGGGAGAUGACAGGAUUCUUCUUGCCCGACGUGCUUUUGUCGGACUCGUCAGACACAUCAGAAGGAUUCCGCCUCCACUUGGAACCUGGCUCCAUUUUUAUGCCGCUGUCUGAGCCUCCGUCUGAUUUCUUGACAUCAUCACCAGACCACAGGGAAUUCCUCUCCACCUGUGAGUGCUUCUCAGCAUCAGUCUGUGGACAGAGACUCUCUGAAUUAGUCCUUCCCCAGUCCCAGGCUGGGAAGCCCCUCACUCCAAAGGCAAAAAUGCCAAAACACUGGAGUAGUUAAGGGAAAAAUAAGCAUUACUUUAAAGAUGUUUGGACUUU
rnacentral:lncRNA from 1 species